GUGUCAGCAGCCGCGGUAAUACGGGGGGGGCAAGCGUUGUUCGGAAUUACUGGGCGUAAAGGGCUCGUAGGUGGCCCCAUAAGUCAGACGUGAAAUCCCUCGGCUCAACCGAGGAACUGCGUCUGAGACUGCGGGGCUUGAAUCCGGGAGAGGGAUGCGGAAUUCCAGGUGUAGCGGUGAAAUGCGUAGAUAUCUGGAGGAACACCGGUGGCGAAGGCGGCAUCCUGGACCGGUAUUGACACUGAGGAGCGAAAGCCAGGGGAGCAAACGGGAUUAGAAACCCUCGUAGUCC
rnacentral:rRNA from 1 species